rnacentral:rRNA from 1 species
UACGGAGGGUGCGAGCGUUGUCCGGAAUCACUGGGCGUAAAGGGCGCGUAGGUGGCGACCCAAGUCAACGGUGAAAGCUCGGCGCUUAACGCCGAGUCGGCCGUCGAUACUGGGUGGCUCGAGCACUGUAGAGGCAGAUGGAAUUCCGGGUGUAGCGGUGGAAUGCGUAGAGAUCCGGAAGAACACCGGUGGCGAAGGCGGUCUGCUGGGCAGUUGCUGACACUGAGGCGCGAAAGCGUGGGGAGCAAACAGG